UCCGUAGGUGAACCUGCGGAAGGAUCAUUAACAAAUCAUUUGGUGGCUGGAUGGGCAACCAUCCAAGCACUAUAUUAACCCGAACCUGUGCCUUUUAGGCCAGGCUAGGUGUGGGUACACCAAAUCUCCUUUGGGAGAUGCGGUAUACUCGCGGUGAAGACGCAAGUCGAAUCCACAUAGACGCUUGUUUUUGUUUGACAGAUUUCAAUUGUAUCCAAAAUUAAAUGACAACUUUUAACAAUGGAUCUCUUGGCUCUUGCAACGAUGAAGAACGCAGUGAAAUGCGAAAAGUAAUGCGAUUUGCAUGAAUCUGUGAGUCAUCAAGUCUUUGAACGCACCUUGCACCGUAUGAGCAAUUGUACGGUAUACCUGUUUGAGAAUCGUAAAACCCUCUCUCAACUAACCCUUUUCCUCUCGAGGAUUGGGGUUAGUCGAGGAUGUGUCUGUUCGUUUCCUCAACGUCGGAUCAAAUCAAGUAGGUUUGGAUCAGGCUGGUGGCCUGGGACACUAUGUGAUAGAGACUAAGAGUAGAUUCGAGUGCUUGCUUUAGGGCGGUACAAGAUGAAGCCUCCGUGUCUUCUCAUGGUGCGUCUCAAGUCAUUAAAGCUGGCCUGGUCAAUCAAUCCUUAACUGCGCUAAUCCUUAACCGGAUUAGGCAACCCCCCCUUUUGAUCUCAAAUCAGGUAAGGCUACCCGCUGAACUUAAGCAUAUCAGUAAGCGGAGGAAAAGAAACUAACAAGGAUUCCCCUAGUAACGGCGAGCGAAGCGGGAAGAGUUCAAAUUUAAAAUCUGGGUGGCCUAGCCACUCCGAAUUGUAAUUUAAAGAGGUGCUAUCUGGGCCUAGUCCGAUGCUCAAGUCCCUUGGAAUAGGGCGUCACAGAGGGUGAGAACCCCGUCUGGGCAUUGGUGCUAGGUCCUCUAUGAGGCGUUUUCUACGAGUCGAGUUGUUUGGGAAUGCAGCUCAAAAUGGGUGGUAAAUUUCAUCUAAGACUAAAUACUGGCAAGAGACCGAUAGCGAACAAGUACCGUGAGGGAAAGAUGAAAAGCACCUUGAAAAGGGAGUUAAAUAGUGCGUGAAAUUGUUAAAAGGGAAACGCUUGAAGU
rnacentral:rRNA from 1 species